UGGGGGGGGGUGCUUACCAUGCAAGUCGAGCGGUAAGGCCCUUUCGGGGGUACACGAGCGGCGAACGGGUGAGUAACACGUGAGCAACCUGCCCUUCUCUUUGGAAUAAGCGUUGGAAACGACGUCUAAUGCCGAAUAUGACCCCCUGUCGCAUGGUGGGGGGUGGAAAGCUCUGGCGGAGAAGGAUGGGCUCGCGGCCUAUCAGCUUGUUGGUGUGGGUAAUGGCCCACCAAGGCGACGACGGGUAGCCGGCCUGAGAGGGUGACCGGCCACACUGGGACUGAGACACGGCCCAGACUCCUACGGGAGGCAGCAGUGGGGAAUAUUGGACAAUGGGCGAAAGCCUGAUCCAGCAACGCCGCGUGAGGGAUGACGGCCUUCGGGUUGUAAACCUCUUUCAGCAGGGACGAAGCGAGAGUGACGGUACCUGCAGAAGAAGGACCGGCCAACUACGUGCCAGCAGCCGCGGUAAUACGUAGGGUCCGAGCGUUGUCCGGAAUUAUUGGGCGUAAAGGGCUCGUAGGCGGUUUGUCGCGUCGGGAGUGAAAACUCAGGGCUCAACCCUGAGCGUGCUUCCGAUACGGGCAGACUAGAGGUAUGCAGGGGAGAACGGAAUUCCUGGUGUAGCGGUGGAAUGCGCAGAUAUCAGGAGGAACACCGGUGGCGAAGGCGGUUCUCUGGGCAUUACCUGACGCUGAGGAGCGAAAGCAUGGGGAGCGAACAGGAUUAGAUACCCUGGUAGUCCAUGCCGUAAACGUUGGGCGCUAGGUGUGGGGACCUUCCACGGUUUCCGUGCCGCAGCUAACGCAUUAAGCGCCCCGCCUGGGGAGUACGGCCGCAAGGCUAAACUCAAAGGAAUUGACGGGGGCCCGCACAAGCGGCGGAGCAUGCUGAUUAAUUCGAUGCAACGCGAAGAACCUUACCUGGGUUUGACAUAUGCCGGGAAAGCUGCAGAGAUGUGGCCCCCCCUUGUGGUCGGUAUACAGGUUGGUUGCAUGGCUGUCGUCAGCUCGUGUCGUGAGAUGUUGGGUUUAGUCCCGCCAACGAAGCGCAACCCUUCGUUCUU
rnacentral:rRNA from 1 species